rnacentral:lncRNA from 1 species
AGAUUCUUUUCCCCUUUUUUUGUGGUGGGGCAUGGAGAAUUCACCAGCAGGUGUGUGAGUGUGCGUGCGUGUGUGUGUGUGUGUGUGUGUGUGUGUGUGUGUGUGAGGUGGGGGGGAACAGGGGAAUAAGAAGGAGGAGGAUGACUAGGAGGUGGAGCAUCAUCUCUGCAGGGUUUUUUUUGUUUUUUUUGUUUUUUUGCUGCACCCUCAGCAUAUGGAGGUUCCCAGGUUAGGGGUCAUAUUGGAGCUACAGCUGCUGCCUAUGUCCCAGCCACAGCAACUCAGGAUCCAAGCCACAUCUGCGACCUACAACACAGCUCAUGGCAACACUAGAUCCUUAACCCACUGAGUGAGACCAGGGACUGAACCUGCAACCUCAUGGUUUCUAGUCGGAUUCGUUUCUGCGGCACUGAAAUGGGAACUCCCCAUCACUACAGCUUUUUCCAGUUGAGGCAGUUUCCCUGGGGUGGAUUCACUAUUGUGCCCUCCCACAACACAUACGUUGAAGUCUUAAUGCCACCCUGAGGGUAUUAGGAGGUGGUACUGAGAGGCAGAGUCCUCAUGAAUGGGAUGAGUGCUCUUAUAAGAGACCCCACAGAGCUCCCUAGCCCCUCCCACCCGUAAAGACACAGCAAGGAGUCAGCAGUCUGCAACCUGCACUGCAGAACCCCAGCCCCCUCACCAUGCUGCUGCCACAAUCCUGGACUCCCAGUUGUAAGCCACCCAGUUUGUAGUCAUUGUUACAUCAGCCUGAACAGACUGAAAUAGGAUCUUUUCUCUCCACUCAGGGACCUGGUUCCCACUCUGGUGGCCAUGAUGCAGAUGUAGUCUUUGUCCAUGGCACCCAGCAUCACCUUUGCACACCAAGGCUGCUUGACUGCCAGGACCUGCCACUCUUGGCCUGAGCACUUUCUUUUCCUUUUGCUGCAGGCGCCUGAGCACCAGGAAGCAGCCCUCAACCAAUGAAAGAAGGGGAGUUGAUGGAUCACUAUCUAGCAUCCUUGCUGCAUUUGUCCCAAGGUGCAAUGACUGACAUGUGUUCUACACUGUCCCCCAGAUCCCAGGCAAGGUUUCCCCACAGUGGCGAUAAGCCUGAUAUCAGUGUCACACUUUAUCAGCGUCUUUCCUCUCUCUGUCUCACUUUCUCACUUCCUACCUAGGCUCAUAGUGUCAGCCAUCAAAUAACCCACUUGCAUUUAAAUUUAUCUUGGGGUCAGCUUUUGGAAAAACCCACAUCAAGACAAUUUGCUCUGCAUUCUUUUGGACAUCUUCCCCUAUAUGUCUAAAAGACAAACAACAUCCUUUUUAGAGAAAGCCCUGGCUGAUACCAAGGGAACAGAAGGA